CCUGCUCACCCCUAGAGAUGUAGAGGUUAAUUCCACUUGAUGCCAGUUUACACACAGCUGGGAACAGUGGAACAAAUAAGUAAUCGCACUACAAGAGCAGACUUGCUAAAAUAUGGGCCAGUUUUGAGUGCCCAUGAGCCCAGGCAGGAGGAGUCAGGACAGCUCCACAAGGAUAGGACUCUUACACUAUGUCUUGUUUCACUUAGCAAAGCGCCCCCACAAGGCUCUGUACUGCCUCCUGGUGGCCUGGAGGACUCAUAGCAGUUGUGGAAAUAAUGCAGGCCCUUGGGGCUGAGUUCAGAAAUGAAAGACAAUCAGAGGAAUGUGGACUGCAAAAACAAGCACACAGAAGGAAAAUAGAGCUCAUCAGGCUCAAGGCAGUCCAAAAUGAAGACUCGGGCUUCAUCAGCAUAGACAGAAGGAGCCCCAGGAGAAGACCUCUGGUUCUGGCUCAAAAACAUCAGGAAUGAAGAAAAGCCACAAAAAUGGUAAAUGGCUGAGUAAAU